rnacentral:rRNA from 1 species
GGAGGGGGCGAGCGUUGUUCGGAAUUAUUGGGCGUAAAGGGCGCGUAGGCGGCUUUCUAAGUCAAAGGUGAAAUCCCUCGGCUCAACUGAGGAACUGCCUUUGAAACUGGAAGGCUUGAGGCCGGGAGGGGGUAGCGGAAUUCCCAGUGUAGCGGUGAAAUGCGUAGAUAUUGGGAGGAACACCAGUGGCGAAGGCGGCUACCUGGACCGGUUCUGACGCUGAUGCGCGAAAGCGUGGGUAGCAAACAGGAUUAGAUACCCUGGUAGUCCACGCUGUAAACGAUGGGUGCUCGGUGUCGCGGGUAUCGACCCCUGCGGUGCCUUAGCUAACGCGUUAAGCACCCCGCCUGGGGAGUACGGUCGCAAGGCUG